rnacentral:rRNA from 1 species
UACGUAGGGCGCAAGCGUUUGUCCGGAAUUAUUGGGCGUAAAGAGCUCGUAGGCGGUUUGUCGCGUCUGGUGUGAAAACUCAAGGCUCAACCUUGAGCUUGCAUCGGGUACGGGCAGACUAGAGUGCGGUAGGGGGUGACUGGAAUUCCUGGUGUAGCGGUGGAAUGCGCAGAUAUCAGGAGGAACACCGAUGGCGAAGGCAGGUCACUGGGCCGCAACUGACGCUGAGGAGCGAAAGCAUGGGGAGCGAACAGG